GGCCGAGUUGUAAUUUGCAGAGGAUGUGAUGGAAUUUGUAUGGAAUCAAGUCCUUUGGAAAAAGGCGCCAUGGAAAGUGAAAGUCUUGUGCUUUUCAAUACAUUUUCCACAAAUCACUCCUUCAAAGAGUCGAGUUGUUUGGGAAUGCAGCUCAAAACGGGACGUAAAUUUGUUCCAAAGCUAAAUACCGGCUAGAGACCGAUAGCGCACAAGUAGAGUGAUCGAAAGAUGAAAAGCACUUUGAAAAGAGAGUUAAACAGCACGUGAAAUUGUUGAAAGGGAAGCUUAUGUCAUCAGAAAUGACGUCAAUGUUCAGCCUUUUGGUGUAUUCAUUGAUUGUCAAGUUAGCAUCAAUUGGGGUAGCGGGAUAAAAGUAUUGGGAAUGUAGUUUUCUCCGGAAAAUCUUAUAGCCCGUUACAGCAUGCCGCUAAUCCCGAUUGAGGACCGCUUACAGGAUGCUGACGU
rnacentral:rRNA from 1 species